rnacentral:rRNA from 1 species
GGAAUCUUCGGCAAUGGGGGCAACCCUGACCGAGCAACGCCGCGUGAGUGAAGAAGGUUUUCGGAUCGUAAAGCUCUGUUGUAAGUCAAGAACGGGUGUGAGAGUGGAAAGUUCACACUGUGACGGUAGCUUACCAGAAAGGGACGGCUAACUACGUGCCAGCAGCCGCGGUAAUACGUAGGUCCCGAGCGUUGUCCGGAUUUAUUGGGCGUAAAGCGAGCGCAGGCGGUUUGAUAAGUCUGAAGUUAAAGGCUGUGGCUCAACCAUAGUUCGCUUUGGAAACUGUCAAACUUGAGUGCAGAAGGGGAGAGUGGAAUUCCAUGUGUAGCGGUGAAAUGCGUAGAUAUAUGGAGGAACACCGGUGGCGAAAGCGGCUCUCUGGUCUGUAACUGACGCUGAGGCUCGAAAGCGUGGGGAGCGAACAGGAUUAGAUACCCUGGUAGUCCACGCC